UACGGGGGGAGCAAGCGUUGUUCGGAUUUACUGGGCGUAAAGGGCGUGUAGGCGGCUUUUCAAGUUCGUCGUGAAAGACCCCGGCUAAACCGGGGGAGGUCGAGGGAGACUGAGAAGCUGGAGGGCGGCAGAGGGACAGGGAAUUCCGGGUGUAGUGGUGAAAUGCGUAGAUAUCAGGAGGAACACCGGUGGCGAAGGCGGAUUUCUGGACCAGUUCUGACACUGAUGAGCGAAAGCCAGGGGAGCAAACAGG
rnacentral:rRNA from 1 species